UGCCAGCCGCCGCGGUAAUACGGAGGGUGCAAGCGUUAAUCGGAAUUACUGGGCGUAAAGCGCGCGUAGGUGGAUUGGAAAGUUGGGGGUGAAAUCCCGGGGCUCAACCCCGGAACUGCCUUUAAAACUACUAGUCUAGAGUUCGAGAGAGGUGAGUGGAAUUCCGAGUGUAGAGGUGAAAUUCGUAGAUAUUCGGAGGAACACCAGUGGCGAAGGCGGCUCACUGGCUCGAUACUGACGCUGAGGUGCGAAAGUGUGGGGAGCAAACAGGAUUAGAUA
rnacentral:rRNA from 1 species